GACGUAAGUGGCAAGCGUUAUCCGGAAUUAUUGGGCGUAAAGGGCGCGUAGGCGGUUGAAUAAGUCAGAGGUGAAAUCACCAAGCUUAACUUGGAUGAAGCCUUUGAAACUGUUUAACUAGAGUAUGGGAUAGGAAGAUGGAAUUAUCACUGUAGCGGUGGAAUGCGUAGAUAGUGAUAGGAACACCGAUGACGAAGGUAGUCUUCUGGACUAAUACUGACGCUGAGGCGCGAAAGCUAGGGGAGCAAACAGG
rnacentral:rRNA from 1 species